ACCCCUGGCCCUCACUUAAUUGCUUUUUUUUUAGAAAAGAAGAGUUAGAAGAAAGAGGAAUUCAAAUAGUAAGUAUAAUUUGUUUUUACAGGUAUUGUUUUUUAGUGUAGGGUUAUUUAUUUUUAAUUAAUCGUGGCUAUGGGAUUAGGGAACCAAUAGGGAGGGUUUCUCACUAUUUGGGGGGAACCAAUAGGGAGGGCUUCUCACUAAUUGAG